GAUGAACGCUAGCGGUAGGCUUAACACAUGCAAGUCGAGGGGUAGAGGUUGCUUGCAACCUUGAGACCGGCGCACGGGUGCGUAACGCGUAUGCAACCUACCUUUUACAGAGGGAUAGCCCAGAGAAAUUUGGAUCAAUACCUCAUAGUAUAUAACCUUCGCAUGUUGGUUAUAUUAAAGUUCCAACGGUAAAAGAUGGGCAUGCGUCCUAUUAGCUAGAUGGUAAGGUAACGGCUUACCAUGGCAACGAUAGGUAGGGGUCCUGAGAGGGAGAUCCCCCACACUGGUACUGAGACACGGACCAGACUCCUACGGGAGGCAGUAGUGAGGAAUAUUGGACAAUGGGCGCAAGCUUGAUCCAGCCAUGCCGCGUGCAGGAAGAAGCAUCUAUGGUGUGUAAACUGCUUUUGUACAGGAAGAAACACCCCGACGUGUCGGGACUUGACGGUACUGUAAGAAUAAGGAUCGGCUAACUCCGUGCCAGCCGCCGCCGUAAAAC
rnacentral:rRNA from 1 species